rnacentral:tRNA from 1 species
AAAAAAGUAAGCUAAUUAAGCUAUUGGGUUCAUACCCCGCCUAUAAAGGUUUUAGUCCUUUCUUUUUUA